AUGAACGCUGGCGGCGUGCCUAAUACAUGCAAGUCUAGCGAACAGAUGAGGAGCUUGCUCCUCUGACGUUAGCGGCGGACGGGUGAGUAACACGUGGAUAACCUACCUAUAAGACUGGGAUAACUUCGGGAAACCGGAGCUAAUACCGGAUAAUAUAUUGAACCGCAUGGUUCCAUAGUGAAAGACGGUUUUGCUGUCACUUAUAGAUGGAUCCGCGCCGCAUUAGCUAGUUGGUAAGGUAACGGCUUACCAAGGCAACGAUGCGUAGCCGACCUGAGAGGGUGAUCGGCCACACUGGAACUGAGACACGGUCCAGACUCCUACGGGAGGCAGCAGUAGGGAAUCUUCCGCAAUGGGCGAAAGCCUGACGGAGCAACGCCGCGUGAGUGAUGAAGGUCUUCGGAUCGUAAAACUCUGUUAUUAGGGAAGAACAAAUGUGUAAGUAACUAUGCACGUCUUGACGGUACCUAAUCAGAAAGCCACGGCUAACUACGUG
rnacentral:rRNA from 1 species